rnacentral:ncRNA from 2 species
UACAUUUGCUGCGUUACUGGUUCAUCUGCCUCAGUCAGAUGAUUAAAAGGGAAGUCGGUGUAACUCCGGCGCUAUCCCCGUAGCUGUAACCCGCGCCGCAAGGCAAACUUUUGAAUCACUACAACCACUGUCUCGAUUAUAAAGAGAUGGGAAGGACAUUCAAAGGGUGGGAAGCCAGAAGACCUGCCAAUAGCAAACAAGUAUU